rnacentral:rRNA from 1 species
AGUGAACGCUGGCGGUAGGCCUAACACAUGCAAGUCGAACGGCAGCACAGUAAGAGCUUGCUCUUACGGGUGGCGAGUGGCGGACGGGUGAGGAAUACAUCGGAAUCUACUUUUUCGUGGGGGAUAACGUAGGGAAACUUACGCUAAUACCGCAUACGACCUACUGGUGAAAGCAGGGGAUCUUCGGACCUUGCGCGAUUGAAUGAGCCGAUGUCGGAUUAGCUAGUUGGCGGGGUAAAGGCCCACCAAGGCGACGAUCCGUAGCUGGUCUGAGAGGAUGAUCAGCCAGACUGGAACUGAGACACGGUACAGACACCUACGGGAGGAAGCAGUGGGGAAUAUUGGACAAUGGGCGAAAGCCUGAUCCAGCCAUACCGCGUGGGUGAAGAAGGACUUCGGGUUGUAAAGCCCUUUUGUUGGGAAAGAAAAGCAGCAGGUUAAUACCCCGCUGUUCUGACGGUACCCAAAGAAUAAGCACCGGCUAACUUCGUG